UCCCAGACUCCUACGGGAGGCAGCAGUCGGGAAUAUUGCGCAAUGGAGGAAACUCUGACGCAGUGACGCCGCGUAUAGGAAGAAGGUUUUCGGAUUGUAAGCUAUUGUCGUGAGGGAAGAAAUUGACAGUACCUCAGGAGGAAGCUCCGGCUAACUAUGUGCCAGCAGCCGCGGUAAUACAUAGGGAGCAAGCGUUAUCCGGAUUUACUGGGUGUAAAGGGAGCGUAGACGGCAUGGCAAGUCAGAUGUGAAAGCCCGGGGCUCAACCCCGGGACUGCAUUUGAAACUGUCAGGCUGGAGUGCAGGAGAGGUAAGUGGAAUUCCUAGUGUAGCGGUGAAAUGCGUAGAUAUUAGGAGGAACACCAGUGGCGAAGGCGGCUUACUGGACUGUAACUGACGUUGAGGCUCGAAAGCGUGGGGAGCAAACAGGAUUAGAUACCCGAGUA
rnacentral:rRNA from 1 species